rnacentral:rRNA from 1 species
UACGUAGGGGGCGAGCGUUGUCCGGAUUUACUGGGCGUAAAGCGCGUGUAGGCGGCCCGUUAAGUGGGGUGUGAAAGCCCGGGGCUCAACCCCGGGACGCCGCUUCAAACUGGCGGGCUUGAGGACGGAAGAGGGGAGUGGAAUUCCUGGUGUAGCGGUGAAAUGCGUAGAGAUCAUGAGGAAGACCAGUGGCGAAGGCGGGUCUCGUGGACAGUUCCUGACACUGAGGCACGAAGGCCAGGGGAGCAAACGGGA